rnacentral:rRNA from 1 species
GACGAACGCUGGCGGCGUGCUUAACACAUGCAAGUCGAACGGAAAGGCCCUGCUUUUGUGGGGUGCUCGAGUGGCGAACGGGUGAGUAACACGUGAGUAACCUGCCCUUGACUUUGGGAUAACUUCAGGAAACUGUGGCUAAUACCGGAUAGGAGCUCCUGCUGCAUGGUGGGGGUUGGAAAGUUUCGGCGGUUGGGGAUGGACUCGCGGCUUAUCAGCUUGUUGGUGGGGUAGUGGCUUACCAAGGCUUUGACGGGUAGCCGGCCUGAGAGGGUGACCGGCCACAUUGGGACUGAGAUACGGCCCAGACUCCUACGGGAGGCAGCAGUGGGGAAUAUUGCAAAAUGGGCGGAAGCCUGAUGCAGCAACGCCGCGUGCGGGAUGACGGACUUCGGGUUGUAAACCGCUUUCGCCUGUGACGAAGCGUGAGUGACGGUAAUGGGUAAAGAAGCACCGGCUAACUACGUG